GAUAAUUAUGAAGGAAAUAAAGGGGUGAUUUCACGACAUAGUAACUAGAGAAGGGGAUAUUUACUCUAGAUAGUGGUGUUGGAGAUGAGAUUUAAGGGAUAGGAAUGAGCCUCUAAAGGCAUUGCAGUUAAAGGAUGCAGCAAGGAUAAAAGUCCCGAGGAAGGGAAAGACUGUCUGAGGAAGAGAAAAGAGGCCAGGAGGUUGAAGAAGCAGACACACGGCCUGGAAUCUUUUGUUGUGCAAAGAAGAGAAGAUGGUGGGGUAGAUCAAGGGGUUGACAAACUUUUUCUGUAAAGGACCAGAUGAUAAGUAAUUUAGGUUUUUCAGGCCAAGAGAAAAAAAAAGAAGGAAAAAUGAAAUUUCCAUAAUGACAUUGGUAGGAAAAAAGUCUGACAUAGUGUCUAUAAUUUUGAGAGAGGAGUGGCCAGUAGUGACAAUUUUUUGUUCCACUUAGGAAAUGAUCAGAGGCUCACCUGAACUAUUAUCCAUCCAAAAGUGGGAUUCAAAGAAGGAAGAGGGCCUAGAAAUGAGAAAGAAGCGAAAAAUAUGUUUGUUGAAAGGUCAACAUGGGUGUUUGGAAGAGGUAAUGCUAAUGAGGUAUUCGUAAAAUUGGAGGUAGGCAACUUUGCUUUUGAUACCCGUUAUCACCAUUCCAUUGCCCCAGUAAAUGUAAAUUCCUUAAGUGUUUGGCACAUACGAUACGACGUCCAAUAGAUACUUGUUGAAUAAGGUAACUUUUUCCUUCUUUUUGAUUAUUCCCUGAGAAAUAAGUGUCCUGGUGCUGCCCCCUGGUGGCUAAAGGAUCCCUUCAUUGGGAGCCCAAACCCUCCUUGGCAAUGCCGUGGGCUGGGAACCAUGGCUCUGUUUGACUGUAUAGUUCCCCUUCCUCACAAAGGAUAUUAAGGAUGUUAAAGGGUAUCAGUGGUAUAGAUAAGAGAAAUACGUUUUUCUUUCUUUUAAAUUCUAUAUUUGAUUUUUAAAAACUUUAUCCAAGUGGGCGUGAAAGUCUUAAUAAAAAUGCCUACGAAUAAAAGGGUUACAUGGACAUGUGCAAGAGUAGUUCCUCCUAUUUAAAACAAACAAUUCCCUUUUAGCCAAACUUCCUUUUUACAAAACCGCUAUAUUUAGCUUUCCUUUCUUGAGAUGAAUCUUUCCUUUCCAUAAAAUUUUGAAACAAAAUAAGUAACUGGCUUAAGCCAAAAUUGGGAUUUAAUUUUUUAUUUUAUUUUAUUUAUCUAUUUAGGGACGGAGUUUGGCUCUUGUUUCUCAGGCUGGAGUGCAGUGGCGCGAUCUCGGCUCACUGCAACCUCCGCCUGCUGGGUUCAGGCAAUUCUCCUGCCUCAGCCUCCCGAGUAGCUGGGAUUACAGGCAUGCGCCACUAUGCCCGGCUAAUUUUGUAUUUUUAGCACAGACAGGGUUUCACCAUGUUAGUCAGGCUAGUCUCCCACCUACAAAAUUAUUGUUUCUUGAUCUUUUUUGUAGGCCUGUUUAGGCGUAAAAUAUUACUUUUGAAAUUAACAAUAAAGAGUAAAAUUUGCCUCUUUAAGUGGAUACCUGUGCUUAUUUUUGGUAGCACAAAUACUGGAUCCUGGGAUGAAUUUGGACUAAGCACCUGCAGAUUUCCUUUUCAAUUGAAAUGAGAAUUUCUGUCUGUGUUCUUCAUGCUUGUUAUACUGGAAAAAGUUUGCUUACAAUUUCGCUCUUGUCGCACAGCUGGAGUGCAAUGGCAGGCUGGAGUGCAAUGGCACCGUCUCAGCUCACUGCAACCUCCACCUCCCAGAUUCAAGCAAUUCUCCUGCCUCAGCCUCCCAAAUAGCUGGGAUUAUAGGCAUCCACCACCAUGCCUGGGUAAUUUUUGUAUUUUAGUAGAGACGGGGUUUCACCAUGUUGACCAGGCUGGUUUUCUCUCAUUUAAUUAUAUUGCUUUGUAGCAGGAUGGGCUGCAGGCAAAACUCCUCAGACACCGGCUGAAAGAGGGAAGAGGCUUUAUUUAGCUGGGAACCUUGGCAGACUUGCAUCUCAAGAACCAAGCUCCCUGAAGAAAAAAUUCCUGGCCUUUUUGAGAGGUGAAGCGAGCUGGACUUCCUGGGUUGAGUGGGGACUUGCAGAACUUUUCUGUCUAGCUAGAGGAUUGCAAACGCACCAGUCAGCACUCUGUGUCUAGCUAAAGGAUUGUAAACACACCAAUCAGCACUGUGUAAAAAUGCACCAGUCAGCGCUCUGUGUCUAGCUAAAGGACUGUAGACGCACCAAUCAGCACUCUGUAAAAAUGCACCAAUCAGCACUCUGUGUCUAGCUAAAGGAUUGUAAACGCACCAAUCAGCACUCUAUAAAAGCGCACCAAUCAGCGCACUGUGUCUAGCUAAAGGAUUGUAAACGCACCAAUCAGCAUUCUGUGUCUAGCUAAAGGAUUGUAAACGCACCAAUCAGCACUCUGUAAAAAUGCACCAAUCAGCACUUGGCAUCUAGCUAAAGGAUUGUAAGUGCACCAAUCAACACUCCGCAAAAACACACCAAUCAUCACUCUGUGUCUAACUAAGGGAUUAAAUGCACCAAUCAGAACUCUGUAAAAAUGCACCAGUCAGCACUCUGUAAAAUGGACCAAUCAGCACUCUGUAAAAUGGACCAAUCAGCAGGACAUGGGUGGGGACAAAUAAGGGAAUAAAAGCUGGCCACCCCCCAGCCAGCAGCGGCAACCUGCUCAGGUCCCUUUCCACUCUGUGGAAGCUUUGUUCUUUCGCUUUUCACAGUAAAUCUUGCUGCUGCUGACUCUUUGGGUCCACACCACCUUUAAAAGUUGUAACACUCGCUGUGAAGGUCCGCAGCUUCAUUCUCGAAGUCAGUGAGACCAAGAAUCCACCAGAGGGAACCAAGUCUGGACACACUUUUAAGGGCUUACAACUCUAUGGGGGUCUACGUGAAAGAUAUCCAGCAAGUGAUCUAUAGGUAAUACACGUAGUUAGAGUGGGGGGUUAAUCUUUAACCUCAGGCCUGGUCAGUGGCACCGGUUGGUCUUGCCACUGACUUCAUUUCUGUUGUUUUUCAGCUUUUACUUCCUCCUUCUCUUCAGGGACAGGAAACAGUAAGAGAAAUGGCGUAUCUCCUCAGCUUAAGAUAGUACUUGCCAGGCAGGGUGGCUCACACCUGUAAUCCCAGCACUUUGGGAGGCUGAGGUGGGUGGAUCAUGAGGACAGGAGUUCAAGACCAUCCCGACCAACAUGGUGAAAACCCCAUCUCUACUAAAAAUACAAACAUUAGGUGGGCGUGGUGGCACGCGCAUGUAAUCCCAGCUACUCAGGAGGCUGAGGCAGGAGAAUUGCUUGAACCUGGGAGGCGAAGGUUGUAGUGAGCCGAGAUCGCGGCAUUGCACUCCAGCCUGGGCAACAGAACAAGACUCCAUCCCCCCACCAAAAAAAAAGUGCUUAUCUUGUCCAUAACUUAGCAGGAGUGUUUCAAUAUUACAUCCACGCUGUUUCCAUAUUAAACAGAUUCUUUGUGGUUGAGAUAAAUAUAUUUCAUUAUGCUAACAACGUAUUUGUAUACUCCUGUUAAGAACUUACAUCAAGUAUGAAUAUGGAAUUUUUCCAAUGUCUUUGAUAGCUUUUUUAGACAUGAGUAGUUAUGUGCUGCAUGACGAUGUUUUGGUAACAAUGGACCAUGUAUACCGUGGUGGUCCCAUAAGAUUAUAAUGGAGCUGAAAAACUCCUAUCACCUAGUGCUAUCAUAGCCAUCAUAACACAAUGCAUUACUCACGUGUUUGUGAAGAUGUUGGUGUAAAGAAACCUACAGAACUGCCGGUCAUCUAAAAGUAUAGCACAUACAAUCAUGCACAGCACAUAAUGAAAGGCUUGAUAAUAAAGGGAUAUGUUAUUGGCUUAUGUAUUUACUAUCCUAUAUUUUUCAUUGUUAUUUUUGAGUGUACUCCUGCUUUGCGGUGUCUCACGCCUGUAAUUCUAUCACUUGGGGAGGCCAAAGCCGGCGGAUCACUUGAGGUCAGAAGUUUGAGCCUGACCUGGCCAACAUGGUGAAACUCCGUCUCUAUUUAAAAUACAAAAAUUAGCCAGGUAUAGUGGCGAAUGCCUGUAGUCCCAGCUACUUGGGAGGCUGUGGCAGGAGAAUCGCUUGAACCCAGGAGGUGGAGGUUGCAGUGAGCUGAGAUCACACCAUUGCACUCCAGCCUGGGCAACAGAGCAAGACUGCAUCACAAAAAAAAGGAAAGAAAGCUGUAGAAUAGCCUCAGGCAGGACCUUUAGGAGUUAUUCCAGAAGAAGGCAUGUUAUUACAGGAGAUGACAAGCUGUAGGAGUGGAAGGCAGUGAUACCGAUCAUCCUGGCCCUGUGUAGGCCUAGGCUAAUGUGUGUGUUUGUCUUAGUUUUUAGCAAAAAAUGUUUUAAAAGUAAAAACAUAAAAAAUAAAAAUUUUAAAAAACAUGAAAAAGCUUAUAAAUAUGUUUGCACAGCUAUGCAAUGUUUUCAUGUUUUAAGCUUUUAUUACAAAAAAGUUUAAAAAAUUAAACUCGAUAAAGUAAGUUACAGUAGCCAAAGGUUAAUUUAUUAUUGAAGAAAGAAAAAUUAUUGUUUAUACAUUUAGCAUAGCCUGCGUGUACAGUGUUUAUAAAGUCUAUACCCAUGCCCAGUAAUGUCCUGGGCCCUCACACUCACUCCCCACUCACUCGCUCACUCACCCAGAGCCACUUCCAGUCCUGCAAGCUCCAUCCAUGGUGAGUGCUCUGUGAAGGCGUUCGUUCUUUAUCUUUUGUACCAUAUUUUUACUGUACCUUUUCUAUGUUUAGCUAUAUUUAGAUAUACAAAUACUUAGCAUUGUAUUACAGUUGCUUACAGUAUUGAGCACAGUCACAUGUUGCACAGGUUUGUAGUCUAGGAGCAGUAGGCCAUACCUAUAGGCCAGACCAUAGAUCCUAGGUGUGUAGAAGGCUCUACCAUCUAGGUUUGCGUAGGUACAUGCUAUGAUGUUUGCACAAUGACAAAAUUGCCUGACACAUUUCUCAGAGCAUAUCUCCAUCAUUAAGUGAUA
rnacentral:lncRNA from 1 species